UACGGAGGGUGCAAGCGUUAUCCGGAUUCACUGGGUUUAAAGGGUGCGUAGGCGGGCAGGCAAGUCAGUGGUGAAAUCCUGCAGCUUAACUGCGGAACUGCCAUUGAUACUGCUGUUCUUGAGUACAUUUGAUGUGGGCGGAAUGUGUCGUGUAGCGGUGAAAUGCUUAGAUAUGACACAGAACACCGAUUGCGAAGGCAGCUCACAAAACUGUAACUGACGCUGAGGCACGAAAGCGUGGGGAUCAAACAGG
rnacentral:rRNA from 1 species